rnacentral:rRNA from 1 species
GACGAACGCUGGCGGCGUGCUUAACACAUGCAAGUCGAACGGAAAGGCCCUGCUUUUGUGGGGUGCUCGAGUGGCGAACGGGUGAGUAACACGUGAGUAACCUGCCCUUGACUUUGGGAUAACUUCAGGAAACUGGGGCUAAUACCGGAUAGGAGCUCCUGCUGCAUGGUGGAGGUUGGAAAGUUUCGGCGGUUGGGGAUGGACUCGCGGCUUAUCAGCUUGUUGGUGGGGUAGUGGCUUACCAAGGCUUUGACGGGUAGCCGGCCUGAGAGGGUGACCGGGCACAUGGGGACGGGGAACGGGCCCAGCCCCCUAGGGGGGGCAGAGGGGGGAAUUUUUGCACAAGGGGGGGAAGCGUGAGGAGGCACCCCCGGGGGGGGGAGGAGGGCUUUGGGUUGGAAAACGGUUUUCGCAGGGGACGAAGGGGGAGGGAGGGUAAGGGAUAAGAAAGCCCCGGCUAACUCCGUG